UGAACCUCUUCGGGGAAAUACCAGAAUCAGAAGUUAAUGUCCUGAAGAGAAGCUACCAUCAGAACAUUACUCAUUAACUGAGAAAACCUGAAAAUAACCAGAAAGAUCUGGCUGCAGUCAUUGAUGCCAGACCAACAUGGAGCCGCUGUCUCUUUCCUCCAGAGGUCACCAGCCAGGCCAUCCACGACACACUUGGAAAACCAGGGAAAUAAACUCUGAUGGACCACCUAGCCUGCGUUACACUGUUCAAGCUCAGAAGGGUGCAAAGUGACAAGGUGUUCCCAGCACCACAGGAUUCCCCCAACACUAACCUCAGUCAGAUGUUUACGGCCAAGCAAAUGGAAAUGGAGAUUUAAGGAGUGGGGGGCAGAGAUGGGAGUCAGACGAAUUUCACGGUGUCCUGGGCAAGGAGAAAGACAAACCCCUUUGCCCCUAAUAAUUAAAAGCUUCUCAGAGGAGCCACUUUCUGGCCAGAGCAGGAGGUGUGCAAGGGACUGAGAUCACUCAUCCUGGAGUAAGCCAGCUGCCAUGUCAUGAGGACACUCAAGCAGCCCUAAGGAGAGAUCCACGUGGCAAGGAGCUGAGGCCUCCUCCCUACAGCCACAUGAGUGAGUCAUCUCAGAAGUGGAUUUCCAGCUCUAGUCAAGCUUCAAAAAACUACAGCCCUGCAGCCCCAGACAGCAUUUUAACUACAGUCUCAUGAGAGAUCCUGAGCCAGAACCACCGACCUAAGCCACUCCCAAAUUCUUGACCUGCAGAAAUUAUGCCUUGAACAUUCUGUGGGCCAUUACAAAGCUCACAUCCUCUGUGCCCGUGGGGCUUCGUGAUUCAAACGGCCGUGACCAGGCCUGUCUGGGUGCAGGCUCACCGGCAAUGUGGUCAUAUGCAUCUUAUCUCCUAAAAGAAUCGUGAACCAGGAGAGGUCACUGGCGGUAACUGCCCAAAUACUGCUCUCCGAGGACUCAGGGAUACUCUCUUCCCAAAGCAAGUUUUUUGGUUUUUUAAAGGUAGUUUCCAAUAAUCCCUUAAAUGUGUUUCUCACUAUCUUACAUGCCUGAGUAGUCGCCGAGCGUGGUGCCUCACUACCAUGGUAUGAUUUCCAGCCUGUUAACUAGUAAACUCGUGUGAGUGAAUUUAACCUCA